rnacentral:tRNA from 1 species
GCCGCCGUAGCUCAAUCGGUAGAGCGUCAGUACUUUCCCAAGCACGAGAAUUUCGACGCAGCGGCUAACUUCUGUUCAGGUGUGGCUCUUAAGUUGGCACUUCAGAUCACCUCAAGGUCGUGGGUUCGAGCCCCACCGGCGGCU